rnacentral:rRNA from 1 species
GGGGAAUAUUGCACAAUGGGCGCAAGCCUGAUGCAGCCAUGCCGCGUGUGUGAAGAAGGCCUUCGGGUUGUAAAGCACUUUCAGCGGGGAGGAAGGCGGUGAGGUUAAUAACCUUGUCGACUGACGUUACCCGCAGAAGAAGCACCGGCUAACUCCGUGCCAGCAGCCGCGGUAAUACGGAGGGUGCAAGCGUUAAUCGGAAUUACUGGGCGUAAAGCGCACGCAGGCGGUCUGUCAAGUCGGAUGUGAAAUCCCCGGGCUCAACCUGGGAACUGCAUUCGAAACUGGCAGGCUAGAGUCUUGUAGAGGGGGGUAGAAUUCCAGGUGUAGCGGUGAAAUGCGUAGAGAUCUGGAGGAAUACCGGUGGCGAAGGCGGCCCCCUGGACAAAGACUGACGCUCAUGCACGAAAGCGUGGGGAGCAAAC